CGCGGGUGUGGAGUACUGGUAGCUCGUCUGGCUCAUAACCAGAAGGUAGCGGGUCCGAUUCCCGCCCCCGCAA
rnacentral:tRNA from 1 species